UGGUUCUGGCAUCGAUGAAGAACGCAGCGAAAUGCGAUAAGUAAUGCGAAUUGCAGAAUUCCAGUGAGUCAUCGAAUCUUUGAACGCACAUUGCGCCCUUUGGUAUUCCGAAGGGCAUGCCUGUUCGAGCGCCAUUAUCACCCCUCAGGCCCCGUGCUUGGUGUUGGACGGCCGGUCGAGGUGCCCUCGACCCCUCCCAGGGACAAUGACGGCGGCCUGCGGUUCCCCCGGUACACUGAGCUUCUUACCGAGCACGUACCGGACGAGGGUGCCCGGGACCCGGUCUUCUCCCCCCUUAGGGGAAAUUUCUCACGAGGUUGACCUCGGAUCAGGUAGGAAUACGCGCUGA
rnacentral:misc_RNA from 1 species